rnacentral:snoRNA from 1 species
UGAUAAUGAUGAAUGUUUUGUUAUAUGUUUUUUUCUGGCAUCUCUAAUGUUAGCCUGGUUUGAUCACCAUGGCAAUGAAUACAACCCUUGACUACUAUCUGAUA